CUCAGAGGAGCCUCGCCUGCUUUGAAAUGCAGUGCCUUCUGCCUAACCCUGCCCGGAGCUGCUGAAGUGUGGUACAACGGGCUGCCUCCUCUGAGCAUUAAGAGUUGGCUAGAGCUAAAAAAAGCUUUCUUAAACCAGUACCUCUCAUAUCUGUACUUUUAGCCUCCUUUAGUAAAGGUUGAAGUAAAUGAUAUUUUGUCUUAGUGUCAUAAAAUCGAAAGCAAAGGAUGCACUGAAAAUAGUCAAUAAAAGAUUGGAAAGUAAAAACUGUAAGAGCUCCUUGCAUUAUUUGUGAGUAUUUUUAGCUUUCCUUCUCUCAUAGACAUGGAACUUUUGAUACAUUUAAAAACACGGGGAAAUUUAUGUAAUUUGAUAAAUCUAAAGCAUUAAACUUAGGGAAGGUAUACUUACAUGAAUAGAAUGUUGAUGGCAACAUUGGUCCAAUGUUUAAGUAAUAUCCUUGAAGAGAAAUUUCCCGACCCUUCUCUCUCUCUCCCCUUCUCUUAAAGUCUGUUAUGUAAGAAUUCUCUCUUUCCUUGAAUUUAUUUUUACACAUUAUCUAAAAUAACUCACUAUGAGAAAAAAAGAUAAGAAAAUAGUAGUUUUUUGAUGGAAUUGAAUAGGAUAUUGGAAUGUGAUUUAUGACUCUAUUAUUGCGUACUUCCUUUCCUGUAUUUUGAU
rnacentral:lncRNA from 1 species